ensembl:lncRNA
AAAACCACCACCAUCAUACCUGUCCCCAGACCUUCCCAAAGCCUAAUUACACAAUGAUUGCCUGAGCCUAUUCUUGUUAAAUGAUGAAAAACUCAAAGGCACGUUUGGGCAGUGGAUCUGUGUGAAAUCAGCAGCUUGCAAAACUAAAUCAAAAUGUGUGCUAUUGAUUCUAAAAAUAGAAAUCACAAUAAAUUCAACAUUUACUAAAACCGCCAUUCAGUCAUCUGAGAAUCUUUCCUCAUGAAAUUAUAACGGUUAGAUGAAUGUAUAUGCAGUGAUUUACUGAUCAAUGAUAAAAGGGGAGAUUUAUGCAAUAACGAAGACUGUCAUGAAAAGUAUUUGGCAUCUGAUCUCCUGUAACCUGCGGAGCUAAGCUGUUUUACCAGCUCUGCUCUCUGAUUUUUCUUUUAUGAAAAAACACAAGUUGUCAAAGUUAUUUGUUUGCAAAUGUAUUUCAGAAAUAUCGACAUACUUUUUUUAAUCAGCAGAAACUUUAUGUCAGUAGUGCAAAAACCUGCACUGAUCUGACCUCAUUUCUUCCUCAUCCUGAUUCCUGACCUGGGAAGGGAGAGAAAUAUUUGUUUUUGUUUGUCUUCUUGUUUUAUUUAAUUCCUUGUGGGAUUUGGAUCCAACACGUAAAGUAUGCAUAUUAUGCACACACACAAACACACAUGCAGCUAUUACCCAUUUCUUGUAUUCUUGAAUAAAGACAUUGAUUUGACACAUUUAA